rnacentral:rRNA from 1 species
GUGCCAGCCGCCGCGGUAAUACCGGCAGCCCGAGUGAUGACCGAUCUUAUUGGGCCUAAAGCGUCCGUAGCUGGCUGCGCAAGUCCGUCGGGAAAUCCACUCGCCCAACGAGUGGGCGUCCGACGGAAACUGCACAGCUUGGGACCGGAAGGCUCGAAGGGUACGUUCGGGGUAGGAGUGAAAUCCUAUAAUCCUGGACGGACCGCCGAUGGCGAAAGCACGUCGGGAAAACGGAUUCGACGGUGAGGAACGAAAGCCAGGGUCUCGAACCGGAUUAGAAACCCGAGUAGUCC